rnacentral:misc_RNA from 1 species
UGUGGGAGCGGGCUUGCCCGCGAUGAGGGCGUGUCAGUCGAUAUCAAUGUUGCCUGAUACACCGCUAUCGCGGGCAAGCCCGCUCCCACA